UCUUUCUUUUCCCCCUGAAACAAUGAUACAGAAUAAAAGAUCUGGACUCCUGGUGAACCCACCAAAAUCUAACUAACUAUAAGGGAUGUAAGUCUCACACUGACUACAUUCAAGAGGCAGGGUACAGUAGUACAGAGAACAUGCACUAUGAAGUCAGAAAGGUCUGAAUUCCAAUUUAACUCAACCUUUUACUGGUUGCUAAUUAACAUCUAGGUCACUUUCAUCAUUCCUAACAUGGAUAUAAAGCCACUUCUGCAAGAGCUAUUGUAAAUACGAAAUACAAAGCCCUGAGGUACAGCAUGCCUGGCAUGUCGAGAAACAGAUGAAGACCAAUGUGGCUGGAGCACAAACAGGAAUUCAGAGAGGCUUACAAAAGAAAAGCCCAGGCUCAUAUUUCCACCCCCACUGCAUGGCAUGAGGAAGAAUGGAGACCCUGUAGAAUGUCCAGACACUACUUGAUGAACAGCCCCCUGGAAUGGAGACCUCGUUUUUAUUUGUAGUUCAUCAAAAGAAUAGGACUUAUCAGACACAGGCGCCAGGGUGACCUCGGAAGCCGCGUGUUAAAGACACCGCAGCCUGCAUCACACCGGUCCCUGAAUGCUCGAGACACCCCCAGACCCCUUUCAGACCUGCCAGUUGGGACUUUAUGUGAACAACAACAAAAACCCUAUUUGUCCACUGAGAUUUCAGGAUUUUACUGUUACAACAGCUAAUGCUUCCUUAACUAAUACAUAUAUGUAGGCACUGCUGUGGCGAACAAGAUAAACAUUCAUUUUGUUUUUCAUUCUGGCAAGAACGUUUAACAGGAGGGUAUGCAUUCAUGUAAAAAGCAACUCCAAGUUCAGAGGUUUUUCCUUGCUGUGUAUUUUCUUCAAAAACACUUCACUGACCAUUUCUAACAAUUCCAGGCACUGAGUUAGAUGUGACAUAUACAGAGGGAAAUCGGUCAGUCUCUGGCCUCAAGCCUACAGUGAACCAAGAUGGCAGACAUAGAAGAAAUAUACAAGUGCCUCAUUACAAAACUGCAAGUGCUUGAAGCAAACAGAGCACUGGGAGAGUCACAGAAGAGACCUAAUGGGCAAGGGGAGCAGAAGGCCAGGUUCUUCUGGGGAAGAGAUAUUUAAGCUGGAGAACACAGAUGAAUGAGUGUCAACUGAUUAAUUAAAAAUAAAGAGGGGCACCUGGCUAGCUCAGUCAGUUAAGCCUCUGACUUCAGAUCA